rnacentral:rRNA from 1 species
UGAGGAAUAUUGGUCAAUGGACGAGAGUCUGAACCAGCCAAGUAGCGUGAAGGAUGACUGCCCUAUGGGUUGUAAACUUCUUUUAUACGGGAAUAAAGUGAUCCACGUGUGGAUUUUUGUAUGUACCGUAUGAAUAAGGAUCGGCUAACUCCGUGCCAGCAGCCGCGGUAAUACGGAGGAUCCGAGCGUUAUCCGGAUUUAUUGGGUUUAAAGGGAGCGUAGGUGGACAGUUAAGUCAGUUGUGAAAGUUUGCGGCUCAACCGUAAAAUUGCAGUUGAUACUGGCUGUCUUGAGUACAGUAGAGGUGGGCGGAAUUCGUGGUGUAGCGGUGAAAUGCUUAGAUAUCACGAAGAACUCCGAUUGCGAAGGCAGCUCACUGGACUGCAACUGACACUGAUGCUCGAAAGUGUGGGUAUCAAACA